AGAGCUCCCAUCAGUUCACCUUCAGCAUCAACCAUGUUCUCUGUAGCUCUGAUACUGCUGCUUACAGCUGGAUCAUGUGUUCACUGUAUUGACCUCAUCCAGCCAGACUCUGAAGUUGUGCAGCCUGGGCAAUCUCUGACCAUCACCUGCCGGGUCUCUGGUUAUUCUGUGAGUGAUGACAGCUAUGCAACAGGUUGGAUCAGACAUCGUCAAGGAAAACCAAUGGAGUGGAUUUUUGAUAUGUGGGGUGGAGGGAGCUUCUACCAAAAUGAUGCUCUGAAGAACAAGUUCAGCUACAGCAGAGACACUUCUGCUGGAGCAGUAACAAUAACAGGACAGAGUCUGCAGCCUGAAGACACAGCUGUUUAUUAG